UCCUUUCAAGCUACUUUGAUCUGCUUCCUGUGUUCUCACCUACAAAGUGACGGAGGGAAACCUCAGAGCUCUUCUGAUCCUGUCUGUUCCUCCCCCACCCAGCAGAGGAAGACAUGCUUUCUCCAUGGGACAUCAGCAAUUUUCCUUGAGUUAGACAGAUGAGGCCUAGAAAAUGCAUCAUGUGGUGUUUCCAACCCAUCGGGGGAAAAUGUCUCAGAAAGCUGCGAAUAGGACAAGAAGUGACAUUUCUGAAACUCUGGGGACGUCUCACUGUACUAGAGUGGAGGCAAGGAAACUAAGGAAUCCUAGAGGACCAGAAGCUAUAAUCCAUUCAAGCUGUACUCAGAGCAAAAGAAACUGGGGAAGAGGAACCAGGAAAGGAAUCGAAGAUGGCUAGCUCCCAGAUCCUCCUACAGGACCACUCUGACAUCCAGGAACUCCAAAUACAAAGAAGGACAACAAAACAUGAUUCAGGAUUUUCCCUUCGCACUGCAUUAUGAAGAAACUCUCGUUCCUUCUUAAAGUCAUUCAUUGCAUGACAUUUUUUUCAGAAGUUGGUGAAUUGCUGCUCUGGAAAGGAGCAAUAUUGGGUUCUAGUCAUUUUAAUGCAUGAACACAGUGGAGAACAAACAAAGAUGUUUUCUUUUUUUAUUUUAUAUUCUGCCACCCUGAUUCAGGUUGAGUGGUAUCUAACUAUACCAAGCAGACCUAUUGAAAGUAACAGGACUAUGUGCAAAGUAAGGUGCAACUCACCAUGAUUAAAGAUGGCAGAAUUGGGCCCAAAGAAGAUUGGUAAUGCUGCUGUGAAACUUUUAUCCUUAAAAUAAUAGAGAUUAUUCACUGUACUGUGAUUGGAAAGAUCUCCCUUUUCUCCCUAUUUUUCUUUUCCAGUCUCCAUUAUUGCUAACUCUGAUAUGUAAACUUCAGCCAGAGGACAGGAUGGUGACUUGGAGAUGUGGUUAACAGUGACUGUUCCUGUCCUGCAGCCAUGCUGCGUGUAGAACUAUAGGGAGAAUUCCGUUUGUUGAAGGGCUCCCAGGUUGACAUUUAAAAUAAACAGCAAAGGACUGAAGAUUGUGUGUUCUAAUGUGCAUUAUUAUUGUUCAGGUGGGAGUCACCAGAUGGCAACAAUACACAUAGUUUUACAGGUUCUUUUCUGAACAGGUGAGCACUGUUCAGUCUUUGAAAAAAUGCUGUAGUGUUAGUUUUUUGCAUUGAAGGCUCUUGGGCAAGCUGUGGCAAACACCAGGAGAAUAUGAUCUGAGCCUUAAUCUCUCUCACUAGAGAGAGCAAUUUUUGGUACACAGUUGCUUUCUGAUAACCAGUCAUUGCUGCUGGGGCUGAGAUUUCUGAAAGAGGGUUUGCCUGCAUGCCACUUGUGAUGACCUUUGAUCUAGGACUGCUGUAAGUGUACAAAUAAAACAAAAUGCACUAAGAAUAUACCCAGACUCCAUAACAAUGAUUUCUGUUCCACUAGGAGACUGACUUGUAAGGCCCUGAAAACUGCUAACACUCAAAUGAGGAGCAAUAUUAUAAAGCGGCUUUGGAAUUUUUAUUAAAUAUGUACAUCAGUCAUUUCCUGCAGAGACUAGAUUGAGCUGAGCCCUGUGCAUAAGUACUAGAGAGAAGAGAUGGCACAAGUGUUGGGAUGUGAAAAAGCACUCAAACUGCACAGAGCCCAGGCCCCACCUUAGUCCUUGCACUCCCGGCAUACUAAAUUUGGGAGAUUCUAGUAGCAGCAGCAGCUAUAGUACCCUAGCCUCUGUGAACAACACACACAAACAUGCACAGAAGGCAACAGAUCUUGGCUAGAGCAAGGGAGUAUACAUUGCACCCCCCAUUAAAGGAUAUAUCAACAUCC